CCCUUAGAUGUUCUGGGCCGCACGCGCGCUACACUGAUUCAUGCAACAAGUUUUGUCCUUGGCUGAUAGGCCUGGGCAAUCUUUGAACGUGAAUCGUGAUGGGGAUAGAUGAUUGCAAUUAUUCAUCUUCAACGAGGAAUUCCUAGUAAACGCAAGUCAUCAGCUUGCAUUGAUUACGUCCCUGCCCUUUGUACACACCGCCCGUCGCACCUACCGAUUGAAUGGUCCGGUGAAAUCUUCGGAUCUGAGAGAUGUCUGAUUAAUUUCGGACGCCUUUUGGAAAAGUUGUUUAAACCUUACCAUUUAGAGGAAGGUGAAGUCGUAACA
rnacentral:rRNA from 1 species